rnacentral:tRNA from 1 species
GGCUCAGUGGUUGAGCCUCGGCCUGUGAACCCGGAGGUCCCGGGUUCGAUUCCCGG